UACGUAGGGGGCAAGCGUUGUCCGGAAUUAUUGGGCGUAAAGAGCUCGUAGGCGGUCUGUCGCGUCUGCUGUGAAAACUCAGGGCUUAACCCUGAGCUUGCAGUGGAUACGGGCAGACUAGAGUGCGGUAGGGGAGACUGGAAUUCCUGGUGUAGCGGUGAAAUGCGCAGAUAUCGGGAGGAACACCGGUGGCGAAGGCGGCGACCUGGGUCGAGACUGACGCUGAGGCGCGAAAGCGUGGGGAGCAAACAGG
rnacentral:rRNA from 1 species